rnacentral:rRNA from 1 species
CCUACGGGAGGCAGCAGUGGGGAAUAUUGCACAAUGGGCGAAAGCCUGAUCCAGCAACGCCGCGUGAGCGAUGAAUGCCUUCUGGUCGUAAAGCUCUGUCCUCAAGGAAGUUAAUGACGGUACUUGUGGAGGUAGCCCCGGCUAACUACGUUCCAGCAGCCGCGGUAAUACGUAGGGGGCUAGCGUUAUCCGGAAUUACUGGGCGUAAAGGGUGCGUAGGUGGUUUCUUAGGUCAGAGGUGAAAGGCUACGGAUCAACCGUAGUAAGCCUUUGAAACUGGGGAACUUGAGUGCAGGAGAGGAAAGUGGAAUUCGUGGUGUAGCGGUGAAAUGCGUAGAUAUUAGGAGGAACACCAGUUGCGAAGGCGGCUCUCUGGACUGUAACUGACACUGAGGCACGAAAGCGUGGGGAGCAAACAGGAUUAGAUACCCCUGUAGUC